rnacentral:rRNA from 1 species
GUAGGGAAUAUUGGGCAAUGGAUGAAAGUCUGACCCAGCCAUGCCGCGUGCCGGAUGAAGGCGCUCAGCGUUGUAAACGGCUUUUAUUCGGGAAGAAGAGCAGGGAUGCGUCCCUGUGUGACGGUACCGAAUGAAUAAGCACCGGCUAACUCCGUGCCAGCAGCCGCGGUAAUAAGGAGGGUGCGAGCGUUGUCCGGAUUUAUUGGGUUUAAAGGGUGCGUAGGUGGCCAAAUAAGUCAGUGGUGAAAUACGGUUGCUCAACAAUCGAGGUGCCAUUGAUACUGCUUGGCUUGAAAUAAUUGGAGGCUGCCGGAAUGGAUGGUGUAGCGGUGAAAUGCAUAGAUAUCAUCCAGAACACCGAUUGCGAAGGCAGGUGGCUACGAUUUAUUUGACACUGAGGCACGAAAGCAUGGGGAGCAAACAGGAUUAGAUACCCGAGUAGUCC